CCUACGGUGGCUGCAGUGGGGAAUAUUGGACAAUGGGCGAAAGCCUGAUCCAGCCAUGCCGCGUGUGUGAAGAAGGCCUUCGGGUUGUAAAGCACUUUCAGUGGGGAAGAAAGCCUUGGGGCUAAUACCCUCGAGGAAGGACAUCACCCACAGAAGAAGCACCGGCUAACUCCGUGCCAGCAGCCGCGGUAAUACGGAGGGUGCGAGCGUUAAUCGGAAUUACUGGGCGUAAAGCGCGCGUAGGCGGUCUGAUAAGCCGGUUGUGAAAGCCCCGGGCUCAACCUGGGAACGGCAUCCGGAACUGUCAGGCUAGAGUGCAGGAGAGGAAGGUAGAAUUCCCGGUGUAGCGGUGAAAUGCGUAGAGAUCGGGAGGAAUACCAGUGGCGAAGGCGGCCUUCUGGACUGACACUGACGCUGAGGUGCGAAAGCGUGGGUAGCAAACAGGAUUAGAUACCCCGGUAGU
rnacentral:rRNA from 1 species